AGUGAACGCUGGCGGUAGGCCUAACACAUGCAAGUCGAACGGCAGCACAGUAAGAGCUUGCUCCUACGGGUGGCGAGUGGCGGACGGGUGAGGCAUACAUCGGAAUCUACUUUUUCGUGGGGGAUAACGUAGGGAAACUUCCGCUAAUACCGCAUACGACCUACGGGUGAAAGCAGGGGAUCUUCGGACUUUGCGCGAUUGAAUGAGCCGAUGUCGGAUUAGCUAGUUGGCGGGGUAAAGGCCCACCAAGGCGACGAUCCGUAGCUGGUCUGAGAGGAUGAUCGGCCACACUGGAACUGAGACACGGUCCAGACUCCUACGGGAGGCAGCAGUGGGGAAUAUUGGACAAUGGGCGCAAGCCUGAUCCAGCCAUACCGCGUGGGUGAAGAAGGUCUUCGGGUUGUAAAGCCCUUUUGUUGGGAAAGAAAAGAAGUAGGUUAAUACCCCGCUGUUCUGACGGUACCCAAAGAAUAAGCACCGGCUAACUUCGUG
rnacentral:rRNA from 1 species